AUAUAAUUAGUAUAAAAAUUACAUUUAACUUCCAAUUAAAAAAUUCUAUAAAUUAGAAUUAUAU
rnacentral:tRNA from 1 species